AGGACAAUGCCAAAACAAGAAUGUGAAGAAGAAUGUUGAGCAUGUGUUGACCGCGUGCAGGAUUCAUUCUACAACAGCCAUGUGUCGUCUCCGACACGAAAAAUCUGUAUCUACAUGGGUGAAGAUCCAGAAAACCUUGUGCAGCAAUAUGUGGUAUGGCAUGGAUAAAGACUCCAUCAACGAGGCCAUUGAAGACACCACUGUUGGGAUUUAUGUUCUUAAAGAACACGCUUCAAGUGAUGAACCAGAGGACAUCGGAAUUGUCCUUGAAGGCGUCAAGGUGUUGCAAGAUCUUGAUAAUGUAGCAUUAUCUGUUGCUAUGCUGUUUGGACUAAUGUAUGCCCUGAACUUCAGCUACCCUGCUGGCCUUCGUUAUACCUUUGAGGUAAUCCAAAAGAUUUUCAUGGAACUUGAUGGAGGGAAACUUUCCAACAAAGCACUCGCUCUAAAAAACAGACUCUUCCAGUGAAAGGGUCAGAGAGACUGCGCCGUCAGCCAAAUGGCAUAGUUGUCCUUAAAGGCAUCGUUGGUAUGGCUGUACCGUUUGGACUAGUUUUGUUUGUUUGAAUUAACUGGACAGGAUUUGCAUGGAUCUGCAUGGAAAUAACCUUUUGCAAACAAAGCAAAAGUUUGCUCUCUGAAAACAGGCUCUUUUAGUAAAGACUGAGCUGUCAGCAAUAAACCAACAGGCAUCAUUGGUACUGUUAUACCAGAUGGACCACUUUUUCC